GGAGUCGGUAGUUCAGUUGGUUAGAAUACCGGCCUGUCACGCCGGGGGUCGCGGGUUCGAGUCCCGUCCGCUCCGCCA
rnacentral:tRNA from 1 species